rnacentral:lncRNA from 1 species
GGUAGUACUUGGCCAAACCCAUAACAGUGCUGCUUGGUUCCCAAUGUGGAUGAUGAAGAAGAAGGAGAAGAACAAGAUGAUGAUGAUGAUGAAGAAGAGGAAGGAUUAUAAGAUAUUGAUGAAGAAGGGGAUGAGGAUGAAGGCGAAGAAGAGGAAGAUGAUGAUGACGUUGAGGAAGGAGAGGAGGAUGAAGGAGAAGAUGACUAACAGAACACUGAUGUUCUGAACAAUUUUUUUUUUAAUUUUCUCCAGUCCCUGGGAGCAAGUUGCAGUCUUUUUUCUUUUUUCCCCUCUUGUGCUCAGUCGCGCUGUUCUUGAGGUCUCUUUUCUCUACACCAUGGUUUUCAACUUAUUUGGGGGGAAAUGCCUUGAGCAUAAUACAAUGGGAAAAUAUUCUCUACCCCUUUCUCUUCAGAAUUCAUUCUUAUCUCUUCCUGUCUGAACAAAAACUGUAUGGAAUCAACACCACCAAGUUCUGUGGGAGAAAAGAAAAACCUUCUCCCUUUGCUCUGCUGGAAGCUGGAGAGUGCCAGACCCCUGUGUAGCAGUGCAUAGAAUUCUAGCUUCUUUUCUCCUUUCUCUGUAUAUUGGGUUCAGAGAGUACCGUGUGUCUCUGUGUGAAUAUGGACCAUCAUUUAUCAACAUGUAUCUGUCUACUUUCUCUUGUUUAAAAAAAGAAAAAAAAACCUGUAAAAAAUGAGGUUAUAGAAAGUCAUCAAAGGCUUCUGCUUAAGCAUGCAGGUGAGAAGGGAAGAUACAUGUAAUCUGCAUGUCUGCCACCAUUCCUUGUUACCCUUUUUCAUAUCCCAUGAGCACAGCACUCCAGCGGACCUACCCAAAAUAUGUGGGAGUUCAGUGAAACUCAAACAGCAUGCUUCUGGUCAGCCUAUACAGUCUCUGUCCUGGUGAGGAGCAUGAUCACCAACAGGCAAGAUCUUCUGGCCUUGAAGUUUCGCUUGAGUUAAAAGAGCUCAUCUCAGGACUUUCUGAAUUUUCAGCCCAUAUGACAUGGAAGAAGAGUUAGAAGGGGAAUCUGACUGCUUGGAUCAGGGACUGUCUGGCUGGUGGAACUUGAAUGUGCUGUUGUCCUCUUUCUGGACCUUAGAGAUGUACAGUGCGCCACUCUGAGGAUCAAGUCUGACCCUGCCUUUAAAUUUGGAUUCAAAGUACUUAGAUUUUCUGGAAUCCCAUUCUACAAUCUUCUGGUCGAAAGUAUAAAACCAGCAUUGGCCAGCUUGAGAAAUAAAGGGACAGAGUACAAAAGAGAGAAAUUUUAAAGCUGAGCAUCUGGGGGAGACAUCACAUGUC